UACGAAGGGGGCUAGCGUUGCUCGGAAUCACUGGGCGUAAAGCGCACGUAGGCGGCUUUCUAAGUCAGGGGUGAAAUCCUGGAGCUCAACUCCAGAACUGCCUUUGAUACUGGGAAUCUCGAGUCCGGGAGAGGUGAGUGGAACUGCGAGUGUAGAGGUGAAAUUCGUAGAUAUUCGCAAGAACACCAGUGGCGAAGGCGGCUCACUGGCCCGGUACUGACGCUGAGGUGCGAAAGCG
rnacentral:rRNA from 1 species